rnacentral:snoRNA from 1 species
CUGCAACCAGUUAAGCUGACUAUGCUCUCCCCUGGGGGCCUGGUGUGCAGUGGUUGCAAACAGUAGUAUAUGCAGUCCGUUGUUUGUAGCAGUUGCCCUAAGGGACCCUGGAGACAGCC